AGCGACCAAGAAGUGCAGUUAAGAAUGCUUCUUCAUGGUGAGAUGGAUAGAUUUGAUGACACAACUGUGUCACUCUUAAAAGGUUUUGGACGAGAUGGGCCGAAUUCUAGAGGCAGGCAACAAGAACUACACUGACCAGAUCAAAGCCAGAUGGGAA